UUUUUUCCCUUUUCUUUCCUGACCUUUCACCUUUCACCGUAGCAAUAAAAGGUAGAAGCUUUUCUCUAAACAACACAGAGCCACGUUUCUUUUAUUUUUUCUAUAUAUAUAUUUUUAUUUUUCCCCCGUAAUUUGGUUUUAAAGUUCAUUUAUUAUUUGAUGUAUUGGUUCCCGAAUCUACGAUGUCGUCGUCUUUGUUUAGAUUAAUGAUUGACAUUUAAAACAACAGGAGAAAAAAAUGAAAUCAGCAAGACGAAAAUACAUCACAAAUAAACCCCGUUGUAAAAAUGACACAGAAGGAGACAUGCUUGGUUCUUGUUGUCUGGGUUAUUGGCAUCUCCACAGACCGGUUUUGUCACUCAGGUUGUGGUAUUCAUUGUAGCCUAUGACAUAAAACAUUUACACUACAUUUACACUACAGUUAAUGACAGGACAGUGCAAUCAAUUAAAGGAGUUGGGUUAUCAUUUAAAGGGGCGGUGCUAUAUGAACAGUGCUAUCAUUUAAAGGGACUGUGCAAUCAUUUCAAUUAACAGUGCUAUCACUUAAAUUGACAGUGCUAUCACUUAAAUUGACAGUGCUAUCGUUUAACUUGACAGUGCUAUCAUUUAAAUUGACAGUGCUAUCGUUUAAAUUGACAGUGCUCUCAUUGAAAUUGACAGUGCUCUCAUUGAAAUUGACAGUGCUAUCAUUNAAAUUGACAGUGCUCUCAUUGAAAUUGACAGUGCUCUCAUUGAAAUUGACAGUGCUCUCAUUGAAAUUGACAGUGCUAUACCACAACCUGUGUUAGAAUGGAACUCUGAAUGCCACAACAUUACAUACACACACAAUACAAAACCUCUUAGGGUUUGUCUGAGACAAAAGGAAUAGGAAUAUCUCCAUAGAAACGUACCACAUAUAGGCUACUGUACAAACAGUUUUUUUUUUCACGAAACACAUAAUAUCCUUUUCUGAUUGAUAUAGCAACAAUAUGGUACAGGACUCAUUCUCAAUCAAUAAUGUCAGAAAAAAAAAGUCAUUCAACGUAUUACACAUUCACCUGAAUGCUUUCAAUUAGUUCACAACAUUCAGCUAUUCGGUCUGGAUCGCUGAAGCGUUACAGAUUCUGCGAUAUACAUUUUAAGAUCCUUUCCCAUUGAGCUGGCAUGUGCAACGUUUACCGUGAAUGCGGUCUCCGCUAAAGCGGGAACAUUGCCUUUAAAUUAGGUUGUAACGCUGAACUUCCAUGACUGAAUAGAGUCCCUAGUUUCAAUCCAUGACGUGUUCGCGGACACUGCAUUCACGGUAAUAGCUGCAUAUUUCGGCUCAAUUGGAAAUAUCUCAAAGUCAACUGUCUCUUUAAACUCACUUCACUAACAAUAAGAAAGUCCAGGAGGAAAAUGUAGGACCAUAACUUUAACCACACAGACAGAAAACCAGUCCUUAAUAAAACAUCACUAAGAAGAUACGUUAGGAUCCACAGAAACAAAGCAUUUCUUUAAAAAAAAAAAUUUUUAAGUUUGUUUCAUUCGUCUGAUAAUUAACAUUUAUCUUUGUUGAAAAUUAUUAAAUCAAUUCUAAAAUCAGGUCUUCAUUUAAUUUCUCUGCUUCCGAGACAGAUGAUACCCUGCCGUCAUACACUAGCCUCUCCCACUUGGCCAAUUUAGAAAUGAUUGCUUGUUACGUACUUGAUGACUAAAAAAACGGAUUCAUCACCUGCUUCCUAGGGCCAGGGUAGAACAGCAGGAAGGAACGGAUGCAGUGCGGAUUGAGGGAUUAGUGGGGUUUAAUAUAAUUAUAACUUUAUUUGUAUAGCGCUUUUCGAUACAAGUAACAUGCUUCACAGCGUAAAAUAAAAUCACUAAGCAUCUUUACAAAAGUGUGUCUUCGGUAAGGGAUUUAAAAAGAGGCACUGAAUCUAUAAGCCUGAUGUCCUCUGGCAGACCAUUCCAAAGUCUCGGGCAAAUGCCCGAUCUCCUUUAGUUUUCAACCUAGACUUUGAAUUGGUCAACAGUGGCCUGCCAGAGAAUCUCAGGCUGUGUCCUGGCUCGUAGGGUGAUAAAACACAGGAUAUGAAUGUAGAUGACUGGCUGGUUCAGACUCAGUGACCUUGUAGAGUGAGAGGUUAAAUAGCCUUCACUGAUCAUCAAGGGCUGGAGAGAGAUAAAGUAGGACUAAUCAUCCCGAACACUAAACAACAUCACAUGCCUUUGGAACCUGAUAUACAGAAUAGAAACAGACAGUCCCUCAGGUUAUAUGUUUGUAACGAUCUGCUUAUCUGUCUGUCAAAAAUAAUUUGGUCAAAGUGAGUGUUCCCUAUUAAGAGUACAAUGGAAGAUGAAAGCCACCAGUAUUGAAGAUGAAAACCACCAGUAUAAAGCCACCAGUAUAAAGCCACCAGUAUUGAAGAUGAAAACCAUCCAGUAUUGAAGAUGAAAGCCACCAGAAUUGAAGAUGAAAGCCACCAGUAUAAAGCCACCAGUAUUGAAGAUGAAAGCCACCAGUAUAAAGCCACCAGUAUUGAAGAUGAAAACCACCAGUAUGAAAGAUGAAGCACCAGUUUACCACCAGUAUUGAAGAAUGAAAAGCCACCAGUAUAAAAGCCACCAGUAAUUGAAGAUGAAAGCCGACCAGUAUUGAAGAUGAAAGCCAC
rnacentral:lncRNA from 1 species